rnacentral:rRNA from 1 species
UGAGCCAAGUUUAGGGUUUUCUCAAAACCCAAGCAGUAUUGAACUGAAGAGUUUGAUCAUGGCUCAGAUUGAACGCUGGCGGCAGGCCUAACACAUGCAAGUCGAGCGGAUGAAGGGAGCUUGCUCCYGGAUUCAGCGGCGGACGGGUGAGUAAUGCCUAGGAAUCUGCCUGGUAGUGGGGGAUAACGUCCGGAAAC